UUUUAUACUGUAUAUUAUAAGUCAUGCUUCCUGUGAAUGUUCAUCCGAAAUACAAGCAUAAUAUGGGUAUCGAGCGUGAAAUUUCAUUUGUCCCAUUGCCCAAAAGGGUGUGAGCAGUCAUGAAUUUUUUUGAAGGAAAAUGAACACAGAGGAUUAUACAUGGGGAAAAUGCAGUACGUACAUGACAUAUUUUCUGAACUGAUGGCGCGUCGUGCUGCAGUUUUUUCUUCUGGCGCUGUUUGUGAUUUUCAAGUCCUGCAGCUCCCGAUGGCACAUCCUUGCAGCCCAACUAAAGAAGCAUCAAACCAUGACACUGUUCAAGACGCUAUGACAAAAAAUGGCAGAAAAAUUCGGAAUCUGCAACCUACUAGGAGUAGUUGUUUUUUCAGUUUUCUGCAACUACUUUCAACAGAUCAGGUAUGCAUUUCUUUUUCAGUGAGGUUUGCCUCUCCGUUGUCAGUGCAGCCGGGCAAAAUAAGUUCUAAGGAAGUUGCGUGCUUUUCGCUGUGCGGCAUGAUAUUUGGAUUUGACAUGAAUUACACUUUAUCACGUAUACUGUAGAUCCCAUAGAUCAAAGAGCGCUUGAAUGUAGUAGUAAAUUUGGAGGAAACUUGUGUUUUUAGGGGUGAAGGAAGCUUGCCUCUAAGUGCUACUUCUACAUGUGGGGCGCCGCCGAGAGGAGGUGCGGGGAAAGGAAGGAGACAUGCCCCUCGCCGCCG
rnacentral:lncRNA from 1 species